rnacentral:rRNA from 1 species
GUUUGAUUAUGGCUCAGGAUGAACGCUGGCGGCAUGCCUAAUACAUGCAAGUCGAACGGAGUGAAGCCUUCGGGUUUCAUUCAGUGGCGAACGGGUGAGUAAUACGCAGGGAACCUGGCCAUGGCAGGGGGAUACACUCUGGAAACGGAGCAUAAGACCCCAUAGGCAGUAAGGCGGCAUCGCCUUACUGUUAAAGAAAGCUGAAAGGCUUUGGCGAUGGAUGGACCUGCGGUGCAUUAGCUUGUUGGUGAGGCAACGGCUUACCAAGGCGAUGAUGCAUAGCCGGCCUGAGAGGGCGGACGGCCACACUGGGACUGAGACACGGCCCAGACUCCUGCGGGAGGCAGCAGUAGGGAAUUUUCGUCAAUGGGCGCAAGCCUGAACGAGCAAUGCCGCGUGAGUGAGGAAGGUCUUCGGACUGUAAAGCUCUGUUGCCGGGGAAAGAGGGGAAAUGCAGGAAAUGGCAUUUCAUGGAUGGUACCCGGCCAGAAAGCCACGGCUAACUACGUGCCAGCAGCCGCGGUAAUACGUAGGUGGCGAGCGUUAUCCGGAAUGAUUGGGCGUAAAGGGUGCGCAGGCGGUCUGUUAAGUCUGAAGGCAAAGGGAUGAGCUCAACUCAUUUAUGAUUCAGAAACUGGCAGACUUGAGGACAGGAGAGGGCGGUGGAACUCCAUGUGUAGCGGUAAAAUGCGCAGAGAUAUGGAAGAACACCAGUGGCGAAGGCGGCCGCCUGGCCUGUGACUGACGCUGAGGCACGAAAGCGUGGGGAGCAAAUAGGAUUAGAUACCCUAGUAGUCCACGCCGUAAACGAUGAGGAGCAGGUGUUGGGAGUGAAAUCUCAGUGCCGAAGCCAACGCAGUGACUCCUCCGCCUGGGGAGUAUGCACGCAAGUGUGAAACUCAAAGGAAUUGACGGGGGCCCGCACAAGCGGUGGAGUAUGUGGUUUAAUUCGAAGCAACGCGAAGAACCUUACCAGGUUUUGACAUCGGAUGCGAAGGCGCAGAGAUGCGCUGGAGGCUAUCAUCCAGACAGGUGGUGCAUGGUUGUCGUCAGCUCGUGUCGUGAGAUGUUCAGUUAAGUCUGGCAACGAGCGCAACCCCCGUGGUAUGUUACUAGCGCUUUAGGGCGAGGACUCAUAUCAGACUGCCGGUGACAAACCGGAGGAAGGCGGGGAUGACGUCAAAUCAUCAUGCCCCUUAUGACCUGGGCUACACACGUACUACAAUGGCGUCUACAGAGGGAAGCGACCCUGAGAAGGGAAGCGAAACCGGAAAAGGGCGUCCCAGUUCGGAUUGAAGUCUGCAACCCGACUUCAUGAAGAUGGAAUCGCUAGUAAUCGCGGAUCAGCAUGCCGCGGUGAAUACGUUCCCGGGCCUUGUACACACCGCCCGUCAAACCAUGGAAGCCGGCAACGCCCGAAGCCGGUGGCAUAACCUUUUAGGAGUGAGCCGUCGAAGGCGGGGCCGAUGACUGGGGUUAAGUCGUAAAAAGGUACCC